CCUACGGGUGGCUGCAGUGAGGAAUAUUGGUCAAUGGACGAGAGUCUGAACCAGCCAAGUAGCGUGAAGGAUGACUGCCCUAUGGGUUGUAAACUUCUUUUAUAUGGGGAUAAAAUGUUCCACGUGUGGGAUUUUGUAUGUACCGUAUGAAUAAGGAUCGGCUAACUCCGUGCCAGCAGCCGCGGUAAUACGGAGGAUCCGGGCGUUAUCCGGUUUUAUUGGGUUUAAAGGGAGCGCAGGCGGAAGUUAAAGCCAGCGGUAAAAUUGAGAGGCUCAACCUUGUCGAGCCGUUGAAACUGGUUUUCUUGAGUGAGCGAGAGGUAUGCGGAAUGCGUGGUGUAGCGGUGAAAUGCAUAGAUAGCACGAAGAACUCCGAUUGCGAAGGCAGCAUACGGGCGCUCAACUGACGCUCAUGCACGAAAGUGUGGGUAUCGAACAGGAUUAGAUACCCUAGUAGUC
rnacentral:rRNA from 1 species